GGUCUCUUGGAUGAGUGGCUUAGUCACCGGUCUGCAAAACCGCUUACUCCGGUUCGAAUCCGGAAGAGACCU
rnacentral:tRNA from 1 species